AUUAAACUCUGGCGGCAUGCCUUACACAUGCAAGUCGAACGGCAGCACGGGGGCAACCCUGGUGGCGAGUGGCGAACGGGUGAGUAAAGCAUCGGAACGUGCCCUGGAGUGGGGGAUAACGUAGCGAAAGUUACGCUAAUACCGCAUAUUCUGUGAGCAGGAAAGCAGGGGGAUCGCAAGACCUUGCGCUCUGGGAGCGGCCGAUGUCGGAUUAGCUAGUUGGUGGGGUAAAGGCCUACCAAGGCGACGAUCCGUAGCGGGUCUGAGAGGAUGAUCCGCCACACUGGGACUGAGACACGGCCCAGACUCCUACGGGAGGCAGCAGUGGGAAUUUUGGACAAUGGGCGAAAGCCUGAUCCAGCCAUGCCGCGUGAGUGAAGAAGGCCCUCGGGUUGUAAAGCUCUUCGGUGGGAGAAUUGCAUGGGUUAAUACCCUGUGUAGAUGACGGUACCUGGAGAAGAAGCACCGGCUAACUACGUGCCAGCAGCCGC
rnacentral:rRNA from 1 species